rnacentral:rRNA from 1 species
AGUGAACGCUGGCGGUAGGCCUAACACAUGCCAGUCGAACGGCAGCACAGUAAGAGCUUGCUCUUACGGGUGGCGAGUGGCGGACGGGUGAGGAAUACAUCGGAAUCUACUUUUUCGUGGGGGAUAACGUAGGGAAACUUACGCUAAUACCUCAUACGACCUACGGGUGAAAGCAGGGGAUCUUCGGACCUUGCGCGAUUGAAUGAGCCGAUGUCGGAUUAGCUAGUUGGCGGGGUAAAGGCCCACCAAGGCGACGAUCCGUAGCUGGUCUGAGAGGAUGAUCAGCCACACUGGAACUGAGACACGGUCCAGACUCCUACGGGAGGCAGCAGUGGGGAAUAUUGGACAAUGGGCGCAAGCCUGAUCCAGCCAUACCGCGUGGGUGAAGAAGGCCUUCGGGUUGUAAAGCCCUUUUGUUGGGAAAGAAAAGCAGCAGGUUAAUACCCCGCUGUUCUGACGGUACCCAAAGAAUAAGCACCGGCUAACUUCGUG